CAAGUCGAGCGAACAGAUAAGGAGCUUGCUCCUUUGACGUUAGCGGCGGACGGGUGAGUAACACGUGGAUAACCUACCUAUAAGACUGGGAUAACUUCGGGAAACCGGAGCUAAUACCGGAUAACAUAUUGAACCGCAUGGUUCAAUAGUGAAAGGCGGCUUUGCUGUCACUUAUAGAUGGAUCCGCGCCGUAUUAGCUAGUUGGUAAGGUAACGGCUUACCAAGGCAACGAUACGUAGCCGACCUGAGAGGGUGAUCGGCCACACUGGAACUGAGACACGGUCCAGACUCCUACGGGAGGCAGCAGUAGGGAAUCUUCCGCAAUGGGCGAAAGCCUGACGGAGCAACGCCGCGUGAGUGAUGAAGGUCUUCGGAUCGUAAAACUCUGUUAUCAGGGAAGAACAAAUGUGUAAGUAACUGUGCACAUCUUGACGGUACCUGAUCAGAAAGCCACGGCUAACUACGUGCCAGCAGCCGCGGUAAUACGUAGGUGGCAAGCGUUAUCCGGAAUUAUUGGGCGUAAAGCGCGCGUAGGCGGUUUUUUAAGUCUGAUGUGAAAGCCCACGGCUCAACCGUGGAGGGUCAUUGGAAACUGGAAAACUUGAGUGCAGAAGAGGAAAGUGGAAUUCCAUGUGUAGCGGUGAAAUGCGCAGAGAUAUGGAGGAACACCAGUGGCGAAGGCGACUUUCUGGUCUGUAACUGACGCUGAUGUGCGAAAGCGUGGGGAUCAAACAGGAUUAGAUACCCUGGUAGUCCACGCCGUAAACGAUGAGUGCUAAGUGUUAGGGGGUUUCCGCCCCUUAGUGCUGCAGCUAACGCAUUAAGCACUCCGCCUGGGGAGUACGACCGCAAGGUUGAAACUCAAAGGAAUUGACGGGGACCCGCACAAGCGGUGGAGCAUGUGGUUUAAUUCGAAGCAACGCGAAGAACCUUACCAAAUCUUGACAUCCUUUGACCGCUCUAGAGAUAGAGUCUUCCCCUUCGGGGGACAAAGUGACAGGUGGUGCAUGGUUGUCGUCAGCUCGUGUCGUGAGAUGUUGGGUUAAGUCCCGCAACGAGCGC
rnacentral:rRNA from 1 species